GAUGAACGCUGGCGGCGUGCCUAAUACAUGCAAGUCGAGCGAACGGACGAGAAGCUUGCUUCUCUGAUGUUAGCGGCGGACGGGUGAGUAACACGUGGAUAACCUACCUAUAAGACUGGGAUAACUUCGGGAAACCGGAGCUAAUACCGGAUAAUAUUUUGAACCGCAUGGUUCAAAAGUGAAAGACGGUCUUGCUGUCACUUAUAGAUGGAUCCGCGCUGCAUUAGCUAGUUGGUAAGGUAACGGCUUACCAAGGCAACGAUGCAUAGCCGACCUGAGAGGGUGAUCGGCCACACUGGAACUGAGACACGGUCCAGACUCCUACGGGAGGCAGCAGUAGGGAAUCUUCCGCAAUGGGCGAAAGCCUGACGGAGCAACGCCGCGUGAGUGAUGAAGGUCUUCGGAUCGUAAAACUCUGUUAUUAGGGAAGAACAUAUGUGUAAGUAACUGUGCACAUCUUGACGGUACCUAAUCAGAAAGCCACGGCUAACUACGUGCCAGCAGCCGCGGUAAUACGUAGGUGGCAAGCGUUAUCCGGAAUUAUUGGGCGUAAAGCGCGCGUAGGCGGUUUUUUAAGUCUGAUGUGAAAGCCCACGGCUCAACCGUGGAGGGUCAUUGGAAACUGGAAAACUUGAGUGCAGAAGAGGAAAGUGGAAUUCCAUGUGUAGCGGUGAAAUGCGCAGAGAUAUGGAGGAACACCAGUGGCGAAGGCGACUUUCUGGUCUGUAACUGACGCUGAUGUGCGAAAGCGUGGGGAUCAAACAGGAUUAGAUACCCUGGUAGUCCACGCCGUAAACGAUGAGUGCUAAGUGUUAGGGGGUUUCCGCCCCUUAGUGCUGCAGCUAACGCAUUAAGCACUCCGCCUGGGGAGUACGACCGCAAGGUUGAAACUCAAAGGAAUUGACGGGGACCCGCACAAGCGGCGGAGCAUGUGGUUUAAUUCGAAGCAACGCGAAGAACCUUACCAAAUCUUGACAUCCUUUGACAACUCUAGAGAUAGAGCUUUCCCCUUCGGGGGACAAAGUGACAGGUGGUGCAUGGUUGUCGUCAGCUCGUGUCGUGAGAUGUUGGGUUAAGUCCCGCAACGAGCGCAACCCUUAAGCUUAGUUGCCAUCAUUAAGUUGGGCACUCUAAGUUGACUGCCGGUGACAAACCGGAGGAAGGUGGGGAUGACGUCAAAUCAUCAUGCCCCUUAUGAUUUGGGCUACACACGUGCUACAAUGGACAAUACAAAGGGCAGCGAAACCGUGAGGUCAAGCAAAUCCCAUAAAGUUGUUCUCAGUUCGGAUUGUAGUCUGCAACUCGACUACAUGAAGCUGGAAUCGCUAGUAAUCGUAGAUCAGCAUGCUACGGUAAAUACGUUCCCGGGUCU
rnacentral:rRNA from 1 species